rnacentral:rRNA from 1 species
GGUUAAGCGACUAAGCGUACACGGUGGAUGCCCUGGCAGUCAGAGGCGAUGAAGGGCGUGCUAAUCUGCGAUAAGCGCCGGUAAGGUGAUAUGAACCGUUAUAACCGGCGAUACCCGAAUGGGGAAACCCAGUGUGAUUCGUCACACUAUCAUUAACUGAAUCCAUAGGUUAAUGAGGCGAACCGGGGGAACUGAAACAUCUAAGUACCCCGAGGAAAAGAAAUCAACCGAGAUUCCCCCAGUAGCGGCGAGCGAACGGGGAGGAGCCCAGAGCCUGAAUCAGCAUGUGUGUUAGUGGAAGCGUCUGGAAAGGCGCGCGAUACAGGGUGACAGCCCCGUACACAAAAGCGCAUGUGCUGUGAGCUCGAUGAGUAGGGCGGGACACGUGGUAUCCUGUCUGAAUAUGGGGGGACCAUCCUCCAAGGCUAAAUACUCCUGACUGACCGAUAGUGAACCAGUACCGUGAGGGAAAGGCGAAAAGAACCCCGGCGAGGGGAGUGAAAAAGAACCUGAAAUCGUGUACGUACAAGCAGUGGGAGCACAGGUUUACCUGUGUGACUGCGUACCUUUUGUAUAAUGGGUCAGCGACUUAUAUUCUGUAGCAAGGUUAACCGAAUAGGGGAGCCGGAGGGAAACCGAGUCUUAAUUGGGCGUUAAGUUGCAGGGUAUAGACCCGAAACCCGGUGAUCUAGCCAUGGGCAGGUUGAAGGUUGGGUAACACUAACUGGAGGACCGAACCGACUAAUGUUGAAAAAUUAGCGGAUGACCUGUGGCUGGGGGUGAAAGGCCAAUCAAACCGGGAGAUAGCUGGUUCUCCCCGAAAGCUAUUUAGGUAGCGCCUCGUGAAUUCAUCUCCGGGGGUAGAGCACUGUUUCGGCUAGGGGGCCAUCCCGGCUUACCAACCCGAUGCAAACUGCGAAUACCGGAGAAUGUUAUCACGGGAGACACACGGCGGGUGCUAACGUCCGUCGUGAAGAGGGAAACAACCCAGACCGCCAGCUAAGGUCCCAAAGUCAUGGUUAAGUGGGAAACGAUGUGGGAAGGCCCAGACAGCCAGGAUGUUGGCUUAGAAGCAGCCAUCAUUUAAAGAAAGCGUAAUAGCUCACUGGUCGAGUCGGCCUGCGCGGAAGAUGUAACGGGGCUAAACCAUGCACCGAAGCUGCGGCAGCGACGCUUAUGCGUUGUUGGGUAGGGGAGCGUUCUGUAAGCCUGUGAAGGUGGCCUGUGAGGGUUGCUGGAGGUAUCAGAAGUGCGAAUGCUGACAUAAGUAACGAUAAAGCGGGUGAAAAGCCCGCUCGCCGGAAGACCAAGGGUUCCUGUCCAACGUUAAUCGGGGCAGGGUGAGUCGACCCCUAAGGCGAGGCCGAAAGGCGUAGUCGAUGGGAAACGGGUUAAUAUUCCCGUACUUGGUGUUACUGCGAAGGGGGGACGGAGAAGGCUAUGUUGGCCGGGCGACGGUUGUCCCGGUUUAAGCGUGUAGGUGUGUGUUCCAGGUAAAUCCGGUUCACUUUAACACUGAGGCGUGAUGACGAGGCACUACGGUGCUGAAGUAACAAAUGCCCUGCUUCCAGGAAAAGCCUCUAAGCAUCAGGUAACAUCAAAUCGUACCCCAAACCGACACAGGUGGUCAGGUAGAGAAUACCAAGGCGCUUGAGAGAACUCGGGUGAAGGAACUAGGCAAAAUGGUGCCGUAACUUCGGGAGAAGGCACGCUGACACGUAGGUGAAGU